UUGUCGGCAGAUAGCUCUCUGCAACUCUCACAUGGUCACACACUGAAACUAAGUAGGGCUGUGCCUGGUCAGUACCUGGAUGGGAGACCACAUGGGAAAGCGAGGUUGCUGCUGGA
rfam:Danio rerio chromosome 10 genomic contig CTG10347, GRCz11 reference primary assembly.